rnacentral:lncRNA from 1 species
UGGAGGCAGCAGUGCCCAGCUGGAGCCGUCAAUGAGUUGAGGGCGAGUGGCUACGAGCAAGCUGCAGCCUGUGUGUACAAAAAUGCCAAGUGGGUAGAAUGGGGUAAGAGAACACCAGCAUCACAGAUCACGGGGAACAGCCAUUCCAGAGAGUCAUUUGUCCCACACAGGACGAACGAAAGAAGCACCAUUCUCUCCAGAAGGCAAUUCUUGGAAAUGUCUGGUGAGAGAAGGGGAGGAGCGGGCCUGGUUUCCCUUUGGAUGAGAUGAGAUGCCGUCUUUCAGAUUGUGCCGUGGACAACUCCCUGAAAACCGGCACACUCUCCACAAUGUGAAGCUCAGCAGGCCACUUUCUCUCUUGAACUCAGUUAAUUUGCGGUUGAUUUUUGUUUUAAUUUAGGUCAUCCAGUCUUGCUUACCUUUUAAUGAGAAAUGAGUCAUCCUGAGUAAUAUGGGAAACGCGAAGUUGAACCCAGUCCUGCUGGAAUUCCUCCACGUCAAUGACACACCUGUGGAUGGUGCGUCUAAGCAGGAAGUGGCGACUGACUAAACGACUCGGAAUGCGACCGGAUUAAUUAAAAACCAGGGUGCUCUGAGGCGACAGUGAAUCUUCUUUUAAGGACUCGUAUGAUAAAACUGCAUAUAA